UACGAAGGGUGCAAGCGUUGUUCGGAUUUAUUGGGUUUAAAGGGUGCGUAGGUGGGUCUGUAAGUCAGUGGUGAAAUCUCCGAGCUUAACUCGGAAACUGCCAUUGAUACUAUAGGUCUUGAAUUAUCUGGAGGUAAGCGGAAUAUGUCAUGUAGCGGUGAAAUGCUUAGAUAUGACAUAGAACACCAAUUGCGAAGGCAGCUUACUACGGAUUUAUUGACACUGAGGCACGAAAGCGUGGGGAUCAAACAGG
rnacentral:rRNA from 1 species